AUGAAAAAGAAAAUCAAUCAAAUGAUAUUGCACCAACUUCUUUCUAACCAACUCGCAAGCCCCAACCUUACUCCUGAAAAACUUUCUGAUGAUAAUCUGUAUGCAUUCUUUGGAAAUCUACUCAUGUAUAAUGAGAAAACACCCAAGUCAUUCAGAGAAGUCAAUUUAAAGAAGUCUACAGCCUGAUAGAUCGGUCAUUAGCAAAGGACUGAACAAGGGGAGGGGCAAAGAUAAAUCCUAUGAGUUUACAGAAGUCAAAGAAGCCAAAGAACACAGAAGCUGUGGGAGAGGCCCGGAGACAUGGUUAAAGCUUCCAGGAUGUGGACAGAGUAUGGACAAUGCUGUACCAAUGCCACAUCUUCAAAUGAUCCAUAAAGUUGCCCUCAGACAAGCUUAUCACGAUCCCUUGUAGGGUGUUGAAUUACUCUUGGGACACAGUUCUUAAUCUGCCUUAUGCUCUAUGGAUUUGGGUUA
rnacentral:lncRNA from 1 species